ACUAAGACCUUAUUUUGAUUGCAUAAAUAUCAAGUGUCUACUGCUGCAUGAGGUGCCUUGUGGUAUAUGAGAAACCCACAUAGCAUGUCCAUGGGACAACACGGCUAUGGAAGACUUGGGUCCUUGUAGAGUGGCAGAUUAAUGCAAAGCAGGAUGCUCUCCCUGACAUUAUACAAAAGGCAGUAAGUGCCUAAAUAUAGGCAAAUUAAUUAGGACCUUGAUAUUUAUUUUGGGGCAUGAUGAAGAGCUCUACAGGCUCCACUGUCUGAGCUGACCAGAACACUGCUGUCUGUGGAAAGCUUACACAGCUGGCUCACACGUGGAUGCAUAUAUGUAGACAUCUGAAUUUAGGUAUUUGAAUCUGGAGCCAAAUUCCACUGUGGUGCAGGAACUAAGAGCCUGAGAACAACUUUGGAUAUUAUACAUUUGCAAUCCUUGUAGAUGUAACAAAGAAAAACAAUUACAUGUUUAGAAAAAAUAAUUUCUAUGAAUUUCAUGGAAUGCUCUUAGGGGACUUUUCUGUUAGAAAGACUGCUGGAUCACUCUCCUGUUUCCAGUGCCAGCUCCCUUGUUACUCGUGGAAAUGGAAAGUAGCAGUCCUCACUUGUGCUGGAGCCCAGGGGAUGUCAUCACAAAACUGCUGCAGGCGAUUCUCUGACUGCUCUUCUGCUUGAGCAGGGUUUGACCAGCAUGAGCUAACGACGUAAAAACAUGAAGGCUAAGUCAAUCUGUUUGUUACUGGUGGGACAACACCGAAUGAAACACUUGAAGAAAGUUCAGCAUGGGGGUUCUUUAUACUAUGACCUGCAUUCACAUUAUACAUUUCUAUAUUGAUGGCUCAACAUUGUUACAUACCAGUCAUCUAAACUGAUUACAAAUCUUAUCUAGCUUGGCUUUAGCCUCAGAAUGGUAAUUCUGUUUUAGCUUUGCAGCUGAUGUCAUGACACAUAGCUGGACUGAAGAAAGUAAAAAAAAAAAAAAAAAAAAACACAACCAAAAACAGAAAAACA